rnacentral:rRNA from 1 species
CCUACGGGAGGCAGCAGUGGGGAAUAUUGCGCAAUGGGCGAAAGCCUGACGCAGCGACGCCGCGUGAGGGAUGAAGGUCUUCGGAUCGUAAACCUCUGUCAGCAGGGAAGCACGGUCACUGUGCUAAUCAGCAGUUAAUUGACGGUACCUGCAAAGGAAGCACCGGCUAACUCCGUGCCAGCAGCCGCGGUAAUACGGAGGGUGCGUGCGUUAAUCGGAAUUACUGGGCGUAAAGCGCUCGUAGGCGGUAUGGCAAGUCAAGGGUGAAAUCCCCGCGCUCAACGUGGGAACUGCCUUUGAAACUGGCGAACUGUAGUGUGUGAGAGGAUAGUGGAAUGCCAGGUGUAGGGGUGAAAUCCGUAGAUAUCUGGAAGAACAUCAGUGGCGAAGGCGACUAGCUGGCACAUGACUGACGCUGAGGAGCGAAAGCGUGGGUAGCAAACAGGAUUAGAUACCCCUGUAGUC